UCCGUCUGCACAAGUGUCGACGCAGCCUCGCAGAUUGAGCCCUGUACGUCCACAGUCAGAUUACUUCGGUGACGAGGCCGGUCCGUCUUCGGCGGCCCCACACCCUACACCCCCCCGCAACGUACUACGGCACGUCAGCGUGGCCUUCUUCUGCUGCACCGUCGUACCACGCAGGCCCCUCCAGCCAGUACACAUGGACGCCUGCCGAGCCUUCACAGUCCUCCUACCCUAGUCAGGAGGAUGAGGCUGGCCCCGACACCGCAUACGACAUCGUCCGUGACUUCUUCGGGGGCAUACCUGACUACGACGUCCUUCAGCGGUCCCAGGUUUCCAGUGCACCGCUUCGGACCCAGCCCACGCAUGACGAGCCCUCGACACCGGUGGUCCCUACUAGGCCUAGCAGACACGUCGGCCCACCUGACCCCCUCACCUACUCCAGUGGUCACGUGAGGGUUAACCAGCGGCAUCGGGACCACGAUGGGGCGCACGGACGACGGCAACGAGGGAGGCAUGAGUAGCAUUUUACAU